rnacentral:rRNA from 1 species
UACAGAGGGUGCGAGCGUUAAUCGGAAUUACUGGGCGUAAAGGGCGCGUAGGCGGCUUGAUAAGUCGGAUGUGAAAGCCCCGGGCUUAACCUGGGAAUUGCAUUCGAUACUGUCCGGCUAGAGUAUGGUAGAGGUGAGCGGAAUUCCGGGUGUAGCGGUGAAAUGCGUAGAUAUCCGGAGGAACAUCAGUGGCGAAGGCG